UGGGCAACCUGCCCCUCUCUCUGGGAUAACCCCGGGAAACCGGAGCUAAUACCGGAUACUCCGGCUGGAUCGCAUGGUCCGGCCGGGAAAGGUCCGCCGGAGAGGGAUGGGCCCGCGGCCUAUCAGCUUGUUGGUGGGGUCAUGGCUCACCAAGGCGACGACGGGUAGCUGGUCUGAGAGGACGACCAGCCACACUGGAACUGAGAUAGGUCCAGACUCCUACGGGAGGCA
rnacentral:rRNA from 1 species